rnacentral:rRNA from 1 species
GAGUUUGAUCCUGGCUCAGAUUGAACGCUGGCGGCAUGCCUUACACAUGCAAGUCGAACGGUAACGCGGGGCAACCUGGCGACGAGUGGCGAACGGGUGAGUAAUAUAUCGGAACGUGCCCAGUAGUGGGGGAUAGCCCGGCGAAAGCCGGAUUAAUACCGCAUACGACCUAAGGGUGAAAGCGGGGGAUCGCAAGACCUCGCGCUAUUGGAGCGGCCGAUAUCAGAUUAGCUUGUUGGUGGGGUAAAAGCCUACCAAGGCGACGAUCUGUAGCUGGUCUGAGAGGACGACCAGCCACACUGGGACUGAGACACGGCCCAGACUCCUACGGGAGGCAGCAGUGGGGAAUUUUGGACAAUGGACGCAAGUCUGAUCCAGCCAUGCCGCGUGCGGGAAGAAGGCCUCGGUUGUAACGUAC